rnacentral:rRNA from 1 species
UACGUAAGUGGCGAGCGUUAUCCGGAAUUACUGGGCGUAAAGCGUGUGUAGGCGGUUUAGUGUGUGAGAUUUGAAAGCCCGGGGCUCAACUCCGGAUCCAGACCUCAAACUGCUAGACUCGAGAGUAUCAGAGGAGAGCGGAAUUCCCGGUGUAGCGGUAAUAUGCGUAGAUAUCGGGAGGAACACCAGUGGCGAAGGCAGCCCCCUGGGCUAACACUGACGCUCAUGCACGAAAGCGUGGGGAGCAAACAGG